rnacentral:lncRNA from 1 species
GCUAUCCUGAAGGAGGGCCAGUCUCCUGAGUCUGCUCUAAUGCUCCGAUGACUUCAGAAAGAAGAGAAUGAAGCAGAAACUACUGUGACCCAUGCAUAUUGGAUGUGGAGGACACUCCUCCAGAUGUUGAGGAAGAGACUCCAGAGGGGCUGGUGACACUAAUGGAAGAGUCUUUACAACUUGAAUCCAAGGGGGAGCUGGUCAAGGAGGAAUGGCUUUGGUCAUCAGAAGAGCAGGUAUUGUGUGACAUUUUCUGACACAAAUAGAAUGUUUCCAUCUCGAUUCACCACAAACAAGAAACCAUCUAAUGCCUGAACUAACAGUGGUUCUAAAGAGUCUUUGUCAAUAACUCCCUGUCCUGUAGAAGAUAGAUCAGCUUUCUGAACAUCAUCAUCACUGGAAACAGCUUUUCCUUGCUCUUUUAUUUGACGUAUUUGUUUUACUGUUUCCUUUAAAAUCUCACAUUUAUCUGGUUUGACGUUGAAAUAGUCAAUAUCACUAAGAUUUGCAGAUAUCAGUUCAGCCAAUUCUUCGAUAUAUUUGCUUUCCUGUUCUCUUCUCCACUUUUCACCACUUCAGGUAAGACCCUGCCCUGGAGUAUCACAUGGUAAUUUGCAUUUUCAUGGAUCCAGUGAUUCCAAAGAGUUUUCUCCUAAUCCACUCAUCUUGAAUAUACAUCAGCAACUGAUUAAUCAGUAAAACGAUGUUAAAGUAGAGUUUGUCUGAGUCCACUGUUUAGCAAGUAUUUUGAUCCGCCCGCUGCCAUUUUUCCCACAGCUCAGCUUUUUUUUUUUGGUACUCUGGCCCACAGUCUACCUUUAAAUCGUAAACUCACAGCUCAGCCUGCAGCCUCCGGUACCACCCACUCUGCUUUGACC